GAAACGCNAACCUAAUAAUCCAACAUGUAAUUGUGUGCGUGAGUUAAGGUGAGAGGGGGAGAUUAAAUUAAAAAUGCCUACUACGACAUUUUUCGCGAAUUAUUUUGAAGCUAAGAAAACAAAUUCUAAUUUGGCGCAAUGCAUUUUUCGAGAUUUUCGCACGUUUCAGAGACUACCAAUUUAACAAUUUUAGAAAACUCGUGUCUUAGCAUUCUUCCCUCCCGCUUCAACCAGUUGUGCUCACCCACGCAAGCUAUUAUCCUUUAUCGGGUUUUACUUUACAAAAAAUACAUACAAUAUUUUUGUACCUUUCUUAAUUUCAAUAUUUUGCUCUCACUUGUGUAACGGAAAAAUUGUGUGCUGAGUGAAAAGUGCCCGCUGCCAGGAGGGUGGAAUGUAAAGAACUUCACAAAAAGAUUUAGGAUUUUUUUUUUGUUCCACUAGAA